AUUGAACGCUGGCGGCAGGCCUAACACAUGCAAGUCGAACGAGUGGCGAACGGGUGAGUAAUGUCUGGGAAACUGCCUGAUGGAGGGGGAUAACUACUGGAAACGGUAGCUAAUACCGCAUACCAUCGGAUGUGCCCAGAUGGGAUUAGCUAGUUGGUGGGGUAACGGCUCACCUAGGCGACGAUCCCUAGCUGGUCUGAGAGGAUGACCAGCCACACGGGAACUGAGACACGGGCCAGACUCCUACGGGAGGCAGCAGUGGGGAAUAGUGCACAAGGGGCGCAAGCCUGAUGCAGCCAUGCCGCGUGUAUGAAGAAGGCCUUCGGGUUGUAAAGUACUUUCAGCGGGGAGGCGUUACCCGCAGAAGAAGCACCGGCUAACUCCGUGCCAGCCGCCGCGGUAAUUC
rnacentral:rRNA from 1 species